GAUGAACGCUGGCGGCGUGCCUAAUACAUGCAAGUCGAGCGAACGGCCGCGAAGCUUGCUUCUCUGAUGUUAGCGGCGGACGGGUGAGUCACACGUGGAUAACCUACCUAUAAGACUGGGAUAACUUCGGGAAACCGGAGCUAAUACCGGAUAAUAUUUUGAACCGCAUGGUUCAAAAGUGAUAGACGGUCUUGCUGUCACUUAUAGAUGGAUCCGCGCUGCAUUCGCUAGUUGGUAAGGUAACGGCUUACCACGGCAACGAUGCAUAGCAGAACUGAGAGGGUGAUCGGCCACACGAGAAGUGAGACACGGUCCAGACACCUGCGGGAGGCAGCAGUAGGGAAUCUUCCGCAAUGGGCGAGAGCGUGACGGAGCAACGCCGCGUGAGUGAUGAAGGUCUUCGGAUCGUAAAGCUCUGUUAUUAGGGAAGAACAUAUGUGUAAGUAACUGUGCACAUCUUGACGGUACCUAAUCAGAAAGCCACGGCUAACUACGUG
rnacentral:rRNA from 1 species